rnacentral:rRNA from 1 species
UACGCAGGGGGCUAGCGUUGCUCGGAAUCACUGGGCGUAAAGGGUGCGUAGGCGGGUCUUUAAGUCAGGGGUGAAAUCCUGGAGCUCAACUCCAGAACUGCCUUUGAUACUGAGGAUCUUGAGUUCGGGAGAGGUGAGUGGAACUGCGAGUGUAGAGGUGAAAUUCGUAGAUAUUCGCAAGAACACCAGUGGCGAAGGCGGCUCACUGGCCCGAUACUGACGCUGAGGCACGAAAGCGUGGGGAGCAAACAGG